AGGUCAUGACGCGGGCACAAUCUUAUCAUAUAUUUGUACCUUUUCCAAGCGUCAAAGAGACAUUCUCCAUCAACUUGUUGUAAACAAGUGAUUUGAUUUUUAAAACA